GCGGGAGAGGCGGAGACAAAGAAGGCAGCUGCACAAAGCGCCCGAAGAUGAGAGCGAAAAGGACGGGAAUGGAGGCAGAGAGCAGACAAAAGCAGACAGGAGACUGGAAGGAGCUGGGCAGAAGGGGGCGCAGCCGCUUGGUCCCACUGGGGGGCAGUGGCCUUCUGCUGCCCUAUUCCGCGGCGGAGGAGCACGCUAGCCCCCUCCGAAGUCCCCAGGCCCGGCCGCCCCCCUACCUCGCCGGAGCCGGAGCCCGAGCCAGGAUCGAGAUGUUGCGAAGCCAAGCGGGGCAGGUGGCCGGCGCAGACAUCCCCGGUGCCAAGAGAGGGGUCUCUUUGGAGCCCCCAAGAGUCAAAGGAGGAUGACGUGCGGGGACCCGGCCGCGCCGUCGGAGCCCGACUCAAACUUCGAAGUAAGAGCGUCUGGAAAGAUGACUCCUAGCCUUCCACCACGGAAACCGAUAGAGAGAAUCAGAAGCCCUAGAACACCAGGAAGGCGAAGAGACAUCAAGGGACAGAAUUUGAGAGACUGAAAGGUGAAGAGCAGGCCAAGACCUCUGCAUCUUCUCACCAAUGCUUGGGUGCCCCGGGUGCGUAAGGCGUCCUCAGUCCACACUACGUGGGGGACAGCAGGCAGAAAGACUUCCAGGUACACAGGGCACACCCAGGCACAUUCACACAGACCUCUGCACGCAGGAGGCUCUGCACCCCACGCUGAUCCUGGUGGGUGGGGAGGAGGAGGGAAGUAUGGAGCUGUGACCCGGUUGGAUGCAGCGCUGCCCCUGGCUCCAAUAAGCUGGUGGCCCAGGCUCUUAACUCCUACAAGGUUCUCCAUCCCAGCCUUAACUCCUACAAGGAUCUCACUUCAGUGAGAUCAAGGCCCGGAGCGGUGACUCACGCCUAUAGUCCCAGCAUUUUGGGAGGCCGAGGUAAGCGGAUCACCUGAGGAGAGAGUGCAAGACCAGCCUGGCCAACAUGGUGAAACCACGAUUCUACUAAAAAUAGAAAAAUCAGGCGGGGACAGUGGUGUGUGCCUAUAAUCCCAGCUACUGGGAAGGCUGAGGCAGGAGAAUCUCUUGCACUCGGGAGGCCGAGGUUACUGUGAGCUGAGAUCACACCACUGCACUCUAGCCUGGGGGACAGAGCAAGACUCUGUCUCAAAAAAAUAAAAAUAACUAGACGAGGUGGGGCAUGCCUGUAAUCCCAGCUCCUCGGGAGACUGAGGCAGGAGAAUGUCUUGAACCCAGGAGGCGGAGGUUGCAGUGAGCUGAGAUUGUGCCACUGCACUCCAGCUUGGGCGGCAGAGCGAGACUCCAUCUAAAAAAAUAAAUAAAUAAAAUAAAAAAUAAGCAAAUAAAGUGAGAUCAGAACACCGUCAGUUCUACCCUGUAAGGAACCGGGAAAGCGAUGGACAACUGUAAACUGCUUUGGAGAUGCAGUGAGUAAUGUUAAGGACUCUUGAGUUCUGCUGGAGUCCUCUCCCCAGGAGCAACCCAGCUCUCAUGCCUCGCUCUCCCACCGCGAAAGUCAUCGUUCACCCAUCUUAUCCCAUUUUUUUCUCUCUUUUUUUUUUUUUAACCUUCCGAGGUUAUAACUUCAUCACCAGGCAAACUGAUGCCAUUGGGUGUGCCAACGUAAUGAGAAGGAAGAUCACGUUCCUGGAAUCCCACAGACAGGAAUUCCAACCGAGGGUUAAAGGGCCAAACAGGAGUAACACCAAGGGUUAAAGGAAUGAAAAUCAGGACUUCUAGGCUGAGGUAGGCCGAAAUGCAACCGAAAAAUCAUUCAACAUUUUUUUAAAAUUUUAUUUAUUUAUUUAUUUAUUUUCUGAGACUGAGUUUCGCUCUUACCCAGGCUGGAGUGCAAUGGCGCGAUCUCGGCUCACCACAACCUCCGCCUCCUGGGUUCAGGCAAUUCUCCUGCCUCAGCCUCCUGAGUAGCUGGGAUUACAGGCACACGCCACCAUGCCCAGCUACUUUAUUGUAUUUUUAGUAGAGACGGGAUUUCACCAUGUUGACCAGGAUGGUCUUGAUCUCUUGACCUCGUGAUCCACCCGCCUCGGCCUCCCAAAGUGCUGGGAUUACAGUCUUGAGCCACCGCGCCCGGCCUCAACAUUUUUAAAAUAGGACUUGCCUUCAUUUCUGAUUUCUGAAAGUGCUAACAUACUGGGCAUCUCACCAAACUGCAGAUUGCAGUUAAGGUGCCACGUGCUUCACGAUGGGAAAACACUUAAAAAGCUACAAGUUUCGAGGAAAAAUCACCAGUGGCCAAGGGGAGAGGCCAUCAUAUGUUAAUCCCGCCCCUUUCACCAGAAGCCACACCUUCCACCAACAGAAACUCUUGAAUUGGUCUAACACCCACACAUUUCCAGGUUCAUCAGCCAAUCAAAAUUAAAAGUUUCCCAACGCUUCGGCCCCUCCUUAUGUCCAAGCCACUCAGAAGCAAGAUGUCACUGUAAGUCCCGCCUCCAGACCGCUCACUGGGCCAAUGGAAUGCCAUCUUGUUCCAGGCUUCAUUCUCAGACAUCUAGGAGAGCCGGCUUCCCUCCCAGCUUCCUAAGUGCUCAGAGGAUGCAGAGAGGCGGCCUAUUCUGGGGUGGAGGAGAAAUCUGGCUGAGAGGAGAGAGAGAGCCCUGGCUUGGCUGGCCUGGGUUCCAGGACUACCCUCUACCCAGUAGUGGUGGUGAUGUGGUGUGAACCAUUGAACUACCCGAUGUUUACUAAAAGCACCAUAGCUUAAUCUCCAUAACGCUGUAGGGGAGGUGUGAUUGUUUACUUAUUUUACAGAAAAGCAAAGUAGAUUCUGAGAAAGCUAUGGACUAGAUCUCAGAAUUUUUUUUUUUUUGAGAUCGAGUCUCACUCUGUCACCCACGAUCUUGGCUCACUGCAGCCUCCGCCUCCGGGGUUCAAGUGGUUGCCCUGCCUCAGCCUCCCGAGUAGCUGCACCACCACACCCAGCUAAUUUUUGUAUUUUUAGUAGAGACGGGGUUUCACUAUGAUGGCCAGUCUGGUCUCGAACUCCUGACCUCAAGUGAGCCGCCUGUCUCAGGCUUAUAGUGCCAAUACUUUGGGAGGCCAAAGCAGGAGGGUCUCUUGAAGCCAGGAGUUUGGAACGAGUCUGGGCAACAUAAUGAGAACUUGUCUCUACCAAAAAUAAAAAAAAAUUAGCCAGACAUGGUGAUGUGCACCUGUGGUCCCAGCUACUCCGGAGGCUGAGACAGGAGGAUCGCUAGAGCCCAGGAGUUCAAAGUUGCAAUGAACUCUGAUGGUGCCACUGUGCUGUAGCCUGGGUAACAGAGCGAGACUCUCUCUCUCUCUCUCUCUCUUUCCCUCUCUUUCUCCCUAUUUAUAUACAUAUGUGUGUAUAUAUAUACAUAUGUAUAUAUAUACACAUGUAUGUGUAUGUGUAUAUAUACAUAUAUACACAUGUAUAUCUAUAUGUAUAUAUGUGUAUAUGUGUGUAUACAUAUAUAUAAAUUUAAAAAAUAUAUAUAUAUAUAUAGAGAGAGAUACAGCACGAAUAAAGCACCAAUCAAGUGUCAGUGCCAUUAAUACUGGAGAUAGGCCCAGCACGGUGGCUCGCGCCUGUAAUCCCAGCAUAUUUUGGGAGACCGAGGUGGGCAGAUCACUUGAGAUCAGGAGAUCGAGACCAGCCUGGCCAACAUGGUGAAACCCUGUCUCUACUAAAAAUACAAAAAGUAGCCAGACGUGGUGGCACGUGCCUGUAAUCACAGCUACUCUGGAGGCUGAGGCAGGAGAAUCACUUGAACCGGAAGGUGGAGGUUGCAGUGAGCCAAGAUGGUGCCACUGCCCUCCAGUCUGGAUGACAGAGCGAGACUCGGUCUUAAAAAACAAAAAACAAAUUUUUUAAGAGACAGGAUCUUAUCUCUUUCGCCUAGGCUGGAAUGCAGUGGCACAAUCAUAGCUCGCUGCAACCUUGAACUCCUGGGCUCAAGCAAUCCUCCUGCCUCAGCCUCCUAAGUAGCUGGGACUACAGGCACAUGUCGCCACACCCAGCUAAUUAUUGUAUUUGUUUGUAGAGGCAGAGUCUUGCUAUGUUGCCCAGGCUGGUCUUGAACUCCUGGCCUCAAACCAUCCUCCUGCGUUGACCUCCCAAAGUACUGGGAUUACAGACAUGAGCCACCUUGCCAGGCCAUAAUAAGACACAUUGAACCUUCAUACUCAUCAAGCUGAAAGCCUUGGCAUCUCAGGAUUCUGGUGACCAAGACUUCCUCCUCUGGAUUUUUCCUUUUGAGUAUUUUCCUCUUAGACCCCUCUUCUCGCUGUCCCACUGCGAAACCAGUGCCAAGUCUUCUGCCAUUCCCUUAAUCACGCCCCAUCCAGUGAAUUGUCCACAGUUCUCUGAUCUACGAAUCAAGUCUUGACCUUCCAGGUUGUUUCCAGCUAUUUAUGGAACAUCUGUGCGGUGAUGAGAGCAGCAAAAUAAAAUCUAUGAAUGCUUUACAGGA